ACACGGUGGGUGGGGGGCACCGGGGGCUGCCCUAAUUCCCGUCUCUGGGGUUUUUUCCCUCUGGCAGGGGGAGAAGGGCGCCCAGGGAGAGAAGGUGAGUGAGGGGCCGGGUGGGGCUUCCCCCCCCCACCCCUGUGCCACCCCCUGCCCGCCCUGCCCUCACCCCCUGUGCCCACAGGGAGACCCCGGGGAGUGCUCCUGCCCCUCCAGCCCCCGCCAGGACCCCAAUUACAACGGGAUGCCGGGAGCCCCAGGAUUAUGGACCGGGAUGUCCUGGCAGCCCCAGCCUGGCCCGCAGGUCGGUGCCACCCCGGCCCGUGCCUCUCCCACCCUCACCUCGUCACCCCUCGCCUGUCUCUGAUUGUUUUUUGGGGUUUUUUGCAGGGUCCCCCCGGAGCUCCCGGCCCGCCCGGCCCGCCCGGUGCCCCCGGGCGCCAGGUGAGCGGCAGAGGGAGAGCGGGGCCGAUCCUGAUCCUCUAGGGCAGGGCUUGAAUAUUCCCUGUUGGAUUUAGGGAAUGCCGGGACACAACGGCUUGCCCGGACUGCCCGGACCGGCUGGAGACCUGGGACCUCUGGCCGUCAUGGCCGAGAGGAACAUCGAGGUGCUGAAGACUCUCUGUGGGGACUGUGCCCAGCUGCAGGCGGCCCUGGAAGCCCCCGGGGCAGUGGAGGAUGAGGAUGGGGGCAUGCCUGGUGCCCCUGGCAGCGACAGCUGUGCCCGGUGCUUGGCGCAGUUCCCCAGGGCGGAGGAGGCUCGGGGUGACAGCCCUGACUGUGCGGGUCACCCCGGGCUGCCGGGAAUCCCGGGGGAGAGAGGAGAGCAGGUGGGUGAGCUCCAACCCACCCCCGGACCCUCUCCUGCCAUCCCAACCCUUCCUGGGGGCUGUGACAGGUCCCCUCGGGGCUGUCCCCACCUCCGUGGUCACCCCUG
rnacentral:lncRNA from 1 species